rnacentral:lncRNA from 1 species
UAGAAUUUUCCAACAUCUGAAUUAACACAUUUAAGUUUCUUAUAAGACUAAAGGAAAAGAGAGGGGGAAAAUAGGAUAAAUUGGUAAGACUUAUAAUGUUAUCAGUUUAGUAGCACAAAAACAAGGAUGGAUUUUCUAUUAUAUUCCAUUAUGAAUGGCAAUGGCAUAUGAAUAUUUUAGUCUAGGAUCAACAAUAGGCACAAGCUGCACAGAUCUCAUAAUUGACAUUGCAUGAUGCUUCAGUAGGGUCUUAUCCCUAGAACACCUUUCCUCUUAAGAUGGCAAUCACUAGAUCAAGUUGUUCAUGAAAAUAAACCUCUAGUUAUGAUCGAUACAAUCGAGCUCCAUAAUUUAGGUGCCUUCCAAAGCUUGAAUGCCACCUCAUGGAGAAACUGAUCUGCAAGUAUAGCAAGACUUCUCCCUCCCUGCAUGAUAAGAUGAAAGCAGAUGUCACUUAGUAGAUCAACCAGAAGUUAAUGAUCCAACAACUACUAAUAAUUAAUUUCUAGCUAUAAUUCAUGGCAAAACUAAUCCUAUUAUUUUUUUUAUGCUUAGGAACUGAAAUAUACCCACAGAUAUUUGAAAUGAUUAUACAAACUACAUUGUUCAAGGGAAUAAAGUACUUUUUUAUCGUGUAAAAGACUGUAAAUUAGAAAACAAAAUUGGUUAUGCAUAAACCACAUUGCUUAUACCUCCAUAUUCAGCUUGACAUACAUAGCAGACAUGCAUUAAUGUGCAACAUGACCACUGCUUUUAAUAGUUGAUUCUGGAGGAAAAGAUGAUAAGUAAUAUGUUACUUGUUUUGUGGCUUCAAUAGCUCUAAUAACCAUGGACAAAAGUAUGCAUGGGUGUGAGCUACAUAUAUGACAAAAGUAUCACAGAAACAUCAUCAGGGGUUUCAGACUUCAGAGGACUAGUUAGGAGAUAGUAGUUCUGACACAAUAUGACAAGAGUUCCAUUUACCAUGAAAACUAAUUACAUCAACAAAAUAAUAAAUAAUGUUAUGUAAGUAUUAAUAAACAAGAGCUACAGAAGCAUGGGUCUAUUAUCUGUCAUGUGUCUACAAUAGCAUGGAUCAUCACGAGUUAGGAUAUUAGAAACAAGCAUCUCACAAUAUUGAACUCUAUCUUUCUAGAUGAUAGGGAAGGAAAAAGUGGUAUGUAUGUGUUAAUUAACAUAGGCAUUCGGCUCAAAUAAGCUACUGCAAGCAUAGAACCAAAUCUAAGCAUGAUUACCUUCCUAAAUUCUUCAAAACCAGAAUGGCAUAAUCCCGACGCAUUACACUCUCCUGCAACUUAGCAAUCAACCGAUGAUGCCUGCAAUUCAUUGAGAGGUUGCCAAUAGCAUCCUGACCAUAAGUAUCACAUCCUAGAUUUAUAAAAU